AGUGGUCACGCCAGGUUGACUGCACCGAUUCCCGUUAAAUUACAGCAGUUUAGCAACCUUGGGCGCGUGGUUAGUACUUUGAUGGGUGACCGCUUGGAAACACCACGUGCUGU
rnacentral:rRNA from 1 species